rnacentral:misc_RNA from 1 species
ACCCAAGAUAUUCCUUUAACCGGUAUUCUAAUAAGCGGGUUUGACUGUAUUACAUUUUUAAAUAGUACAAAUUACUGCUUACGAUUGAUAUUCACAGGAAAAUCCUAUAAGUUCAUGUUUUUUUGUGUUUAUAAAAAUGUCAUAAUUAUCAUUUACUAAGUGUGAAAAAUGUGACAAAAAAAGAAAAGAUGGCGAAGAAAGAAAUUAAAAUAUAAACCAUUGACGUACUAAAUCAACUAAUUAAGCAGUCAGAAGCUGUAUACAUGAACGCCACAAGGUUCAAAUGGUUUCAAUGGGACAUAAGUAAUCGCACUUUAUUGUUAAUGUUUCUACUACAGACAAAAAGACCCCUUACAUUUAGGUGUUACGGAAUUGUUUAUCAAAAUCGUGCACUACUACUUGUGGUACAUCGUAUGCUACAUUUGUGUAUUGCAUUCUACAAAUGUAUAAACACCUAAAACAUUAUACAAUAUUUAUAAAAAAGACAACCAGCGUACUUUUUAUUAAAGAAGUCCACUUUGAAAACUUUAAGAAGAAAUUGAAUGUUUGGGAAUCAAGCUGUUAAUUUUUUUUAUUACCUACUUUUUAUUUUUUACUUAAUCACUGACUAUUUGUAAAAUUAUUAUAAAUAUAAGA